rnacentral:rRNA from 1 species
CACUCCUGCGGGAGGCAGCAGUGGGGAAUUUUGGACAAUGGGGGCAACCCUGAUCCAGCAAUGCCGCGUGAGUGAAGAAGGCCUUCGGGUUGUAAAGCUCUUUUGUCAGGGAAGAAACGGUGGUGGCGAAUAACUACUACUAAUGACGGUACCUGAAGAAUAAGCACCGGCUAACUACGUGCCAGCAGCCGCGGUAAUACGUAGGGUGCAAGCGUUAAUCGGAAUUACUGGGCGUAAAGCGUGCGCAGGCGGUUGUGUAAGUCAGAUGUGAAAUCCCCGGGCUCAACCUGGGAAUUGCAUUUGAGACUGCACGGCUAGAGUGUGUCAGAGGGGGGUAGAAUUCCACGUGUAGCAGUGAAAUGCGUAGAUAUGUGGAGGAAUACCGAUGGCGAAGGCAGCCCCCUGGGAUAACACUGACGCUCAUGCACGAAAGCGUGGGGAGCAAGCAGGAUUAGAAACCCCUGUAGUCCC